CCCAGUCGUCGUGGAUAAGCCCGCCGUCCGUCCCGACACAAUCAAAUACGUACGUACUACGUACUACUGCCUAUAGGAAGCUAAAUGGUAAGCUUGACUUAUACUAGUAUCUCUUAUACUACCGCCGCUGCCGGUGGUGCUGCUGCUUGGGGAUGUCAUCUUGGAGCCCGGCAAUGGCUUCUGGCAAGUGAUCUCUAGACUCCAAAGGGGAUCCCCAUGUCCGUCUGUCUGUCUGAUGAUAAAACUCAAUGGCUCGUCCUCGUCGGAGCGAGGGAAGCCAUUGUCGUCCCACUAAUUGUUCCGCCGAUCGGCUCGGUCGGUGGGAUCCUUGGUUCUCUGAUCUGUAUCCAUCCAUGUGUUUGCCUGGGGUUAAGACAAGAGAGAGAGUGCCUUCGCUCCAGCAUGUACCAUUUGACAUUGGUUGAUGGAGAGGAGCAUAUUAUUUCACCUUCAUCCUCUGUUGCUGCCGCUGCUUAUUAUCUAUCCUUGAGGGAAGAUCUAUCUAACGUUAUGUGUACAGUGAUCGAUCAACGGGGAGAGUGUCCGUCUUUUGUUGCUGUUGAUGUGGUAGUUUCUUUCUUGUGUCGGCUACGGGUUGGAUUGGAUUGGAUUGGAUGGUGCUCUCUCAGCUCACUCUCGUCCAAUCCGUGCAUGUGAAAAAUACGGCUAUCUAUCUAUCUAGUAGUAUCUAUCUAUCCUGUGUGGUGAUAUAUGCUUCUAGUCCAGUCCAGACAGUAGUAGUCUAGGCUAGCAGUAUAAAUUCUCUUCCAACUUUUUUGUAUCUUUCUCUCCCUUUUUGAUUGUUGUACUCUGAUGAUCCUUAUGUAUACACAUGUUUGGACUUUGGACUGCGAGUGCUGUAACGCGUGUGCUUGGUUGAUCCGUCCAUUCCGGGUUUUUUUCCCCCUCCACAUGGGUGUCGGUGAAGAAUGUGGUACUGGUAAAAGAAGACGAUGCCAACAUUUCGAACCAAUUAUGUUGGAUAUGAAAGGUUGUUUCCCUUUCUUUGAUUUUCAAAUACUACUAAUGCAGAGUAGCACGGUACUCUUGUCGUAGGGCUUUGGUUUGAGGUGAUGAUGAUGGCCGUUUUGUCCAUUGCUCCUCGCGCCACGUGGCGUCGUCCCUGCGUGCCUCUAGGCGAAAUUGGGGCAGCUACCCUAAUUCUGUGGCGGGUACUUGGGUGGAACCAGGUAUGGAGGAGGUGGUCUGUCGGCGAUCGGAAAGUGAUCUGUUGCGUCCCGUUCCGGUGGGCACUGCGUUGCGUGCCCCCGUUGCAACGCGAAUGGACCGGACCGGGUCAUUUCUCCCUUGCUUGCUUCUGGUUGUUGCCUUGGUAGGAGGAGUAGCUGGUGUGAUCUGAUCACGCUGCUGCUGGUGCUGGCUCUGGCUCUGGCUGUGGCUGGUGUGAGUGAAUGUGACAUUAUUCUGCAGCGAGUGCGUGCGUGCAAGUCAUUCUUGCACGCAGGAGGGUCGUGCGUGCUUUGGCAAUGGCGUACUGCAGCUACCCAUUUCGGGCGCUCAGCCGUGCGGGAGAAGGCGUCUCGUACGGUAUAUAGGAUCAGAGAGAGACAAAUGGCUGGAGCAAUGCCCCGCAGCCAGCACGGGCGUUUGAUCCAAGCAGCUGGCGGCUACCCUGUGGCCGUGCCAGUGUGCAAAACAGCACAGCCACAUCUGUGUUGCAGUGUUGCGUUUUCUGCUGGGAGUUGCAGUGUUGCCUAGCUGGUGUGGCGCGAUGAUGAAAGAAGAGAGAGAGGUGAGGAAGACAAGGGGUGGCAUCAUUUGCGGGGCGGCAGCGGCAGCGGCAGCUAGCCAGCGUCGAAGGGCCAAGGGCUGGCUUUCUCGUGCGCUUUAAAGUCACGGAGCGCAGCGGUUGAAAACAUUGACGCUCGCAAGCAAAGGUGGCGCAAGUCUCCGGAAAAAGACAAACGGGUCCUGCUGCGCUGCCCUGCCCCGUGUUCUCAUUUACUGCCACUCUGCAUUGUAUGUCCGCCCCGGCCAUGGUGCGGUGCGGUGCGGCGCGGCGGCGGCAUCCAUCCGCGUCUGUUUGCGGCAGCCGGGCGGCCGGCCGGCCUCGAUCGCGGUGUACAAAGUCAAGGCUUCGCGCACCAGCGCACCACGUCCGACGGGCAAAGCGCGGCGUUUUUUGGAGUUUCCCCGGCGGGCGCGCUCGUUCACUUUCGUCUUCUCCGUCCACUGUCCAACCGCCUUUGCCUCGUCUUUCCUUUCCUUCUACUGCUGCUACCAAUCCUGUCACUGCCCCGCCGGUCGGUGUCACUCGUCGCUCGCCGUGUUGGUCUCUUCGAAUUGUUUCUUCUCGGACCGACCGGUGCCGGUGGGGAUUAAAUUGGCAAAAUGAUCUAGACAUGGAUGGUAAUUCUUUUCUCUUCUUUUAUGGUGCACUUUGGCCCUGAGAGCGAUUUUUGCCGCCGUUCCAUCUCCAUCCAUGCAUCAGAAAUAGCACAGCUGGCAGUGUGUGGAAGGUCCGCGUGGCCGUCCUUUUAAUGAAAGCGUGUGGCGUGGCCAGCCUCAUCCACUUCCAACACUCGUCCACAUCUGGGCACGCGGCGCUCCCUCGCCGGCGACCAGGAACCCUAGCAAGCCACCACCAGGGGGGUUUUCAAAAGGGAAGGGAAGGGGGAAGCUCAGCGCAGGCGCGAGCUCCUCCUCCGCCGCCUGCAAGAUGUGUCUCGCCAUCGGAGCGGCAACGCCUGUACAUACCAGUCCACGAGACGCGGUGGCACUGGCAGUACCGCCGACCAUUGCAGUAUUCGGAUGUCAGCCUGCCGCACGGCUGGCAUCUGGAUUCGCAGCGGAUCCCCAUUCCGGCAAUGCCACGCACGGCGCGGGCGCACAACGAAGAGGUUCGUUGGCGUCGCGAGGCCCUCACUCCGGAGCAGCAGGCGAUGCGUGCCUACGCGCCAGACUCCCCCAACUGGGAGCACUGGUUCCCCCUAAAGCACGAGGAGGAGCGCCGCCGGGGCGUCAUGUCGACGACGACGUGCCUCCUCCGCCGCUCGAGGUUCUGUCGGAAGAGGAGGAUGAAGAGGCGGCCUACCAAGCCGCUCUCGAGCUAGCCCUGCAGCACGCGCUGAAGGCAAGCAGGAUCGAGGAGGAGGCCCGAUGGGAUGGGUUGGAGCACGUCCUUGCCUUGUUGGCGGCGGGGGACUCCGUCCACGCCCCGCUCUUCGUCCCGCCUCCGCCACCGCCGCCGCUGCCCAUCGUCGAGCCCAAGACGGAGCCGGAGCCCAUGCGGGUGCAAAAGCGCCCGCUGCCUCCGCCCAUUUGGCCGGAGGAGUCCUACACCUAGACCCGACGAGCUACGCGAGUGGGUGAGCGCGCCUCUGAUCCACUACGUGCGCGACACCGGAGGAGGAAGGCGGCCCACCUUGAGCGCUGGAAGGCGCACUGGCUCGCCAAGGAGGGGCCGAUGGCGUGCGGCGGAUACGCUGCGAUGAUAAGGCACCGCGGCUUGAUGAGGGGGAGGGGCGCGCCCGGCGAGCCGCAAUGCCGGCGCCCCAGCACACGCCAGAGGAGGCUGCCCUCGCAGCCUACCCAGCGGCGUUCGGGUGGACUGGCCCGGCUCCCGUCUUCAUCGACCUCACCGGCGACAAUGGCGGCGGCAAGGGUAAGGCGGAUGUCUAUGGCAGCAUGCGGGCGCAAUUUUUUGUAUGUUUUAAUUAAUGUUUAAUUAUGUUUUAAGUGUACUUUGGCUGGCGGUUGAUCCGGAUGUUUUAUUUAUGUUUAUUUCUGGGACGUGUUGUUUUUUUAUGCACAUAAAUUUGGGUCGGCCUCUCGUUAGACCCAAACAGGUAAAAGACAGACAAAACACGGGUAUGUUUGGAUCGGACCGUUGGAGUUGGUAUUCUGUCAUGUCUUCUUCGUGGCGCAUGAUUAACCGGCGCAAGAAGGCCGAGAUAUUAUCCGGGAGGUGUGCGUUGCCGUCUUGGUAGUAUACCAGACACGAACAGUGCUAAAACAGUAAUGCCAUGUGUUUCGCUCUGGGCGGUACAAUUAUGCACAAGGGAAGGUCGUACCGAAUCCAAAUCUUUCUGCGAGAAAUAAUCCAGGCCCAUUCAAUUUUUGGCUGGCUGGCCGGUACUCGUGGCCUCUGCCUGGCCACGUGUAAAACGCUCUUUCCUUGGCCAAACCUAACACUCCACCAGGCUCAUUUAUUUGCGUUUGUACGUACGUACUGCAGCCGGCGACGUCUAAUUAAGCGGCUCCGACGGACAAAUCUUCCCCCUUAUCUCCAGACCUGGACAACCCAGAAACCGACACUCGGAUGAAUAGUGAGCCGUACGAUCUAUCUACCACUUGCUUCCAGUAACAUUUACUCCUGUACUACUUCCUCCGUUCUGAAUUAUUUGUCUAGAUACGGAUGUAUCUAGACUCAUUUUAGUGCUAGAUACAUCCGUAUCUAGACAAAUCGAAGACAAGUAAUUUGGAACGAAGGGAGCACUAGUUAAGAGCAAAUUUUCACUUCGUUUUUGAUAAAGGGGGUUUCUCACUUUCUCCAGACCCACUUGUCUUAGAAUGAGGCAGCAGCCACAGAAUGUUUUACAGCGCUCAGACACUGAUCGAACUCAUAGACAAGCCUACGGGGAAGAAAACAGAUGACAGCAUGACAAACAUGUUCAAGCUUCAGUUCUUUGCAAGGUCCGGAAAGAAGCCGCGCCCCUCUUGAAGACGUUUGGUCGUGAUUCUUGGGCAUCGAUCGUUGCUGCUCCUGCUAACUCUGUGGCCUCGGCGGAUAUCCCAGUGCGGCCUGCCUUGGAGAUGCAGGCUGAGUUAUUGCGCUCUGAGCUCCUUGAUAUGGCUUUCUUCCGGUUUGAGGAGACGGUCCAGCCUUUGCGUGAUGUCGUUGACUCCAUGCAAGGUUGGAUGUUGCGGAUGGAGAGCUUCAUGGAGCGAGUUGAGUCUGCACUAGGAGGGCUCUCCCUGGCGCCGUCUGUGUUGCAGAGUGCUCAUGUGUUGCGCCCUUUGAUUGUGCCUCAUGGCAGCUUCGAGGUCGAGAGGGGAGACGAGCUUCCUGGUUGUUUCUCCCCUCGUGCUAGAGCCAGCUCGCCGCCGUCGGCCUAUGAGGGUCUAGGCAAUGAUGUGGUUGUGACUCCGGUGCUGCAGAUCAUGCCUGAGCUUCGGAAGCUGUGUGGAGGCUCGGUUCUGCCUCUGUCCGUCGAACAACCGAAGGUAGACCCUCCUGAGAUCUCAAUUGUGGCUUUAUCGCCAGCGUCACCCCUAGAUUCUAGCCAGAUACUUGAUGCCGAGGAGUAUGGUGAUUUUGAUGUUUCAAUCUCUCAAUCUCCUAAGUCCAUUGGGUGUAAGGCGUCAACCAGUCUACCUCUUGGUGUCAUGGAGCAUGGAGUUCUAGAUGUUGCUGAUGUUCCCUUGUUUGCGACCAUGGAGCAGGUGAUGCCAACGCGUGACAUGACCAUUGAGCCAAGUGUGUUGGCACCUACUCCAAAUCCAGAUGCUCUCUUCGCGAAGGAACUUUGUGACUUGCUCGCUAGUGUGGAGGUUGCUAGACCUGGUUUGGGCAGGUCGAUUGCUUGCCUCUUGAUGGGGACACCAAUAAGGGGCAAACAAAAGAAGGUGGGCAAAGGAAAGAGUGGCGCCAUGGGCAAGGCGUCUCUCGCUGCUUGAUGGAUGACCUUCGAUCUCUCGGCCCGUCCGCUUUGAUUGGGUUGUCGUUGAGGGUUGGGAGGUGCCUGAUGUCUUGUGUCGAGCUGUUCUUGUCGGGGGUCUCUUGGCGUAGUAGCAAUAUCGGGGUUUGUGGAUGUUGUGUAUUCGAAGAGUCUGGGAGGGGCCGCAUGUGCUGUUGUGGGGUUUCUUGCCAUGUGAGGAGUUAGUCUGUGCUUCAUUGGUAUUGGUUUUUGCCCGGUUUUCCGUAAAUUAACUGGGCAAUUCUCUUCUUCUUAAUUAAUCGAUGAUGCAAAAUUUUUGCCUCCGUUUAAAAAAAAAGACUAUUCAGCGGCCGCGGACUAGGUGGAGUUAGCCUGUAGGAUCGCUCGUCGUUGCCCGUCCAUCAUCUUCAUGGGCAGGGUGAACCCAAGGGAUCCUCAGAGGUUCGCCUCUUCGACGAUGCAGCAGCAAUAGACAUCGCAACACGAGGGUGGGUUGCAUUCUGCUAAAAUCCUUCACUGAUGCAACAACUUGCCAACAUGCAUCUUCAUCUGUCCUAACCUUGCCCUGGAAGAGUUUCUCGCUACGUAAGGGCAACUCUAACCGAUCCCCUAAACGUUUAUGGAGGAUCCAGCGGAGUAAAGUUGGUGGAGGAAAAUUUUUACUCCACUAAGUGUGACCGCACAUAGCCAUAUAAACUCUAUAUACUUAGUGGAGUAAAAGCAAAAUUGUGUAGAUUUUUUGUCCUAGCCGCAUGAACUUCACGCAUUACACAAUAUAUAUCAUAAAAAAAUUCAAAUUAAAACAUGCAUAACAUAACCGUCAUUAUACAUAGUUUCCUCAUCGCGUUUUUUAAAUUAAAACAAGCAUAGUUUAUCCAAAAGGCAUCACUUAAAACAUAAAUGUUUGAUCCAAAAUCACCACAAACAUAACAUAAAUGUCUCCCAUCGACAUGCACGAACUCAAACGAGGUGGUCUCCGAAGAAAACAUCAACGCCGCCGCUACCACGACCAUCCUCUCGGCCACCAUCACCUCCAUCCUCUCGGCCGCCGACACCAGCACCAGCACCAGCACCAGCACCAACACCACCAUCACCAUCACCACCCGCUCGGCUACCAACAAUCACCGAUCGGCAGAAAAGUCAAAAGUUUUUUUUACCUUGUAGGCAUUUACUCGACCACUUGGCGGUCGCGACCUUUCUUGCCGUUCGGCUCCGCCGGAGAAGUGCUAGUAGAUGUCGCCGAUGAUGAUGCACGAGGCGCCGGCUGAUGGCGGGACGCCGUUGUCGCCUUUUUCUUCUUCCUCUUCGCGGUCUCCUUGGCGAGGGUCGAUGUCGCCGUCGUCAGUUUUCUUGCUCAUUUGGACGUAGAGGGAGCGGCGGGAGGACGGCGCGCCGUCACGGGAGAGGCGUUCACCACCGGGGCGGCCUUUACCGCUUUUGCAACCGAAGCUUGAACCCGGUGGACUUUUUUUUAUCCCCAAGUUCUUCUUCGGCGCGGGCGGCAGUGCGGUGGCCGAUGGGGUGGCGGUGAGGUCCAGGGUAUCCAUUUCGGCGGGUGGUUCGAUCAUCGGUACCGGCGGCGGGGCGUGGAGGCAGCUGCGGAGGAAAAGAGGAGGCGGGAGAGAGGAGGCGCCGCUUUUUCUCAGUCAAGUGCAUGGUGAGAUAUUUAGGGAGAUUAGGGGGGUUUUCGGCGGGGGAGGAUAAUUUAUCCUCCGCUAACCGUUUUAGGGGAUCAAAUAUGAAAGCAACUUCAAACAUAUUAUGCACAUCAUUCUUUUUCGAGGACAUCCAUUUUAAGCGACAUCGAUCAUCACAGACGUACUCCCGCCGUCCCAUAAUAUAAGAGCGUUUUGUAAGCUACUCCCCCCGUCCCACAAUAUAAGAGCAUUUUUCAAGCUAUGCUAGCUCGAAAAACACUCUUAUAUUAUGGGACGGAGGUAGUACAUAACAACAGAAAAUACCAGACAAACUUGACAAAAUGACUUGGGUAACGACAAACUCGAAAAACUAUUGUUGGGCAAACUCAUUUCCCCACGGAGUAAGGGCAUCUCUAGUGCCGACCCUCAAACCACCCGCAACUAUCCGGACCAUGCGAUCCAGAUGUAUUUUGCCAUAGAAGGCGGUCCUCUAUCGGUCUGCUCGACGGUCCAGAUGCACAUUUUUCCGCAAACCGGAAACAAACUAGGGGGGCUCUGCGGGCGUCCAGACAGCUGCCACGUCCACUUCUGACCACCUUGUGUUAGAGCAUAUUUCUCUCUAAGUGGUUUUGGUGAUUGAUGACAAUGCUUUUGCGGAUUAAUCGUGUGCAUUGAGCAUUUCAGAUAUUCCUUCGUAUGGUAUGAGACGGUUUCUACCCCUUGGUGUUUAAAAGAGAAGACGGUGUUUUUUCCUUUGUUUCAUGUUCGGUGGACUUGAGUCGUAGGAUAUAUCGUACUAUCAAGAGGGGGUCCAUAUCGGAAAGGUUUGGGUGGAAUCAACACGUACACAACUCCCUUUCACACCUAGUUCUUUCCUGCUUCUACGGAGUGUCCUUCCAUGGUGUUGGAGUGGCUCAGGUUCAAGCCAGCAGUAGUACUGCCUGUGUAGGCAGGCAGUAGUACCGCUCCAGUACCGCUGUACUACCGCCUCAGUUCGGGCCUCGGGUUUCUCGUGUCGGGUCUAGCGGUAGUCCCUAUGGCAUUGUCGGAAUCGGUGCUCCGUGGACCCAACACGGUUCAAACUCUGGGGCAUGUGCAAAGAUCUACCCUAGCGUCAAACUCAAGCUCAUCCUCCCCAUGGCUUGGCCUCGUUGAGUUCAUAUGAGCGGGGAAGGAAGAUGAACAUGGGGAUUUACCCAGGUUCAGGCCACCUUGCAGUGUAAAACCCUACUCCUGCUUUUGGUGGAUUGGCCUCAUGAGGAGGCUGGGGAUGAACUAGUACAGUGAAUGAGCAGCCAUGUGCGGACUGUCGUGAUUAGGAUGGAUCGAUCCUUCUCUACGGUGGAGGCUAGUUUAUAUUUAUAGUGGUCUUGGUCCUCUUCCCUCAUUGCUCAGGCGGGAAGGCAUUCCACAACGACCAAUUUUAAAAGGGGAUAAGAAGUACAUCUUAUCCUGACGAAAGGUGGUCUUCGCCUGCAAAGCUUCUGGCUGUGACACAGUGGUGGGCUCGGCGAUGGCAUCCGUCUUGCCGAGCCCGCGGUCGUGGUCUCGCUGCACCGGAAUGGAAACCUUUGGGGCCGACCUCAGGAACCUGCGCCCGUCCUUGCUUCCUUAGCACCGAAGAGGAAAUUGUCCCCUCUGCACCCGCUAGCACCCGCCUGACCUUCGUCGUCAUGGCUCAUGUCAUUGUGGCCUCAUGAGGCGUGGUACCUGCAUAGAGAUCUCCGCUCCUCGGGAGGCUGGCUUGGGGAGCUGCUCCUCUGGAAUUCUUGGCGUCGCUCGCCAUGCGAGGCCGGGGGCCCUCGCGAGGGUCUUCCUCAUGUAGUCUUGCAUCUGGGCCUUGCCGGAUCGUCGAUGAGGCCACGCGUUGGGCCGCAGGCAGGCAGGUCUGGGUACCCCCGAUCCCAGAAUGCCGAUAGUAGCCCCCGGGCCCAAGGCAUGCCUGGACUGGCUUUGAGGUGAAGGCAAGGAGCGAAGGGUGGAACACUGUGGGCCCCAAUCGCCUGCAGGCCAAGCUUGACGUGUGGCGCAUGAUGGGCCACGGACGCCCCCACUUCCCCACAUCGCCUUGUCAACCGCCCUGGCUGAAUGAAAGCCUGACGCGCACUGCGGAACCAUCAUUGCACAAAGGUGAGAGGGCGUCGGCUGGCCUUGUCCGACUGCCUAUAAGAAGGCGAGGGGGCAAUGCCCCAUUCCAUCUUCGUCUCCUUGCCCGUUUGCCCCCAACCUCUACCGCGACGACCAUGGCACCAGUGAGGAGGUUCACUGCAGAGGUGAAAGGCAAGGCUCCCCACAAAGCAUCGGGUUCGCCACCGCCCAUGAGAGGGCGCGAUCGCCCUCACAAGUCUUCGGCAAUGCGAACAACAUCAUCUCGGGGGCACGGGUGUCCUCCACUGGCGGUUCGCACCGGAUUAGGCGGCCGCGAGAAGAACCCCUCCGGUGGGGGUGGCCGCGGAAGCUGCGGUGGCCUUGGCCCAGGGGGAGGCGUGUGGUGGUCGUCCGACCACCUCACUCGCGGGCCCAUUCAUAUGACUUGGCCCGCGAGUUUGUGGUGUGGAUGGAGGGUCCGCUGUCGGUAUCAAAACCGAAAGAUCUUGGGUAGGGGGUCCUGAACUGUGCGUCUAAGGAUUGAAGGUAACAGGAGGCAGGGACACGAUGUUUACCGAGGUUCGGGCCCUCUUAAUGGAGGUAAUACCCUACUUCUUGCUUAUUUUACUUUAAUGAGUAUAGGGGUUACAAGAGUUGAUCUACCUCGGGAUCGUAGUGGCUAAACCCUAGAUGUCUAGCCCGUAUGAUUGUGAUUAUUCUCCUAUGGACUAAACCCUCCAGUUUAUGUAGGCACCGGAGGGACCUAGGGUUGUACAGAGUCAGUUUAUAGAGAAAGGAAGAUGCAAAAUCCGAACGCCAAGCUUGCCUUCCACGCAAAGGAGAGUCCCAUACGGACACGGGGGAGGGCUUUCUGUCUUGUAUCUUCGCGGCCCAUCAGUCCGGCCCAUAUCGCAUAGCCUGGACGCCCGAUGACCUCCUAGUCCAGGACUCCCUCAGUACCCCCUGAACCGGGCUUCAAUGAUGAUGUAUCCGGCGUGCAGAUUAUCUUCGGCAUUGCAAGGCGGGUUCCUUCGUCGAAUACUCCAAAGCAGUCUUUCACACACUGAAAGUGCAUUAUAUCGACUAGAGGGGGGGGGGUGAAUAGGCGAUUUUUAUGAAUUCUUCACUAAGGAAUUUGCCGGUGAGGAAAUUCCUUAGUGAAGAACUACUUGCAGCGGAAUAAGUACUCAGAAGUAAGCAUAACAGGAUACAGACAUAUUCAUCAUGAUGAAAUGAAGACAAGCUAAGAGUACUGGAAGCGUAAGCACAGGAUAACACAAGAUGAAGACAAACAGACUGAAGAAAUUGAACUGAGGAAAUUGAGAAAGUCUUUAGUCAAGGUCUUCAAACACAGAUAAGAACAAUAACACAACACAAUAAUGAGGAAAUGAAAGAGUUGUGGAAAUAGAACCAGUUAGGUUGGUGAAGACAAUGAUUUGGUAGACCAGUUCCAACUGUUGUCUCAAUUGUACGUCUGGUUGGAGCGGCUGGGUAUUUAAACUCGAGGACACACUGUCCCGGACACCCAGUCGCUGAGCACGCAGAUCAGGACACCAAGUCCUCACCGUAUUCUCCUUGAAAUAAGGUCACACAGACCUCAUCCAAUCACUCGUGGUAAGUCUUCAGGCGACUUCCAAACCUUCACAGACUUCGGUCACUCAGCGAUCCACAAUUCCUCUUGGAUGCUAUAGACCAUGACGCCUAACCGUCUGGAAGAAGCACAAUCUUCAAAGGUAACAAGCAUCGGAUCCACGCAGGAUCAAUCUCUUCAGUGAUGCUCAAUCACUUUGGGGUUGGUAGGUGUUUGGGUUUGGGUUUUUCCUCACUCGAUGAUUUUCGCUCAAAGUCCUCGGAGGAUGGGUUGCUCUCAAAUGACAAGUGUCAGUUUCUCUCAGAGCAGCCAACCAGCUAGUGGUUGUAGGGGGCGGCUAUUUAUAUCCUAGGGAGUAACCCGACCAUGAUAAGACAUAAAUGCCUUUGUCUGAUAUAACCGUUAGGUGGAUAAGAUAUUUUGGGACAGCUGGCGCGCAGCACAGCAACGGUCGGAAAUUUGAUUCUCAAAUUCCUCAGGGCUAUCAUGUUCCUCACUGUGUAGGCAAUCUGCACUGGCGAAUUCCUAACUCCUUAGUCAGAACAAAUUCCUCAGCGACCAGAAGAACUUCGUCUCUGUCACUGAAGAAAGUGACUGAACUGUAUGAGAUUUCCAAAGGCUUCACUCGAAGGGUUUGGUAGGUUUUAGGAUUUUGAGUUGAGCAUCACAUGGAAAAUUUUCCUUAGUAUUUCCUUGACCCCCUUUAACAGUACGAUGUUUCCUAUGACUCAAGAAAGAGAAAAACAAAACUAUGAAAACGAAAGUCUUCAAGCUUCAUAUUCCUCGCAUAAAUAUCAAGUCUUCACGGACACACCAAUUUCUUCACUUUCAAAGUCUUCAGGAAAGUCUUCAGGAAUACCAAAAUCUUCAGUCGAAGAUAUUCAUUUUUAGGGGUCGACUUUCUCUGUAAAUAUCAAACUCCUCAUAGACUUAUAGACCUGUGUACACUCACAAAUGCAUUAGUCCCUUAACCUAUAAGUCUUCAAUACACCAAAAUCACUAAGGGGCACUAGAUGCACUUACAAUCUCCCCCUUUUUGGUGAUUGAUGACAAUAUAGGUUAAGUUUGCAACGGGGAUAAACAUGUGAAGUGUAAGCACUGAUAUAACUGAUAUUGAGGAAUUUUAUUGCAAGAUAUAGAGGAACUCCCCCUGAAGAUGUGCAUAGUGAGGAAUUUGCUUUUGAAGCAAUGCACACUUGAAGAGUUAAAUCAUGGAGAUCUCCCCCUAUAUCUUGUAAUUCAUAGACGCAUUUGACAUAUAAUAUGAAGAAUUUGAAAUGCAUGAUGAGAUAUGGUGCCUGAUGAAAUUCAGCAUGCGUGCAAUAAUAUUAAUGAGGAACAAGCAUGCAGAAUAACGCAUCAAGAGUAUCAGAGCACAGUGCAUCAAAAGUAUGUCACCAUCGGGUUUAAGUUUACAACUCGAUCCAAUAAAGUUUCAGAAGAACGAGAGUUGUAACUUAGCAAAAACGCCCAUAUAAUAGACCCGCUUGAAGACUAACUCAAAUUUCUCCCCCUUUGUCAUCGAAUGACCAAAAGGAUCGAAACUGAGGACUAACGCCCCUGAAGAAUAUCAAGUUGAUGGAGGAGCGUCAGCGUUGUUGGGGUCGGUUGUCGUAGUCGGGCCUGCCGCAGUGUCAUCCAGGUCUUCAUUUUCAUCAGUGUCGUGCGAUGAAGAAUAGGAGCUGGCCACCAAGGAAGGAACCUUGACCUUCUUGAAUUUCUUCGGUAGAGGUGCAAACCAGUCAAAUUCUUCCUUAAGACCCAUAUUCUUCAGAUCUGCAGCGCUGUAGACAUGAGAUAGAACAACCCAGGUACGGUUGAAGGUUUCAUGAAGGUAGUAUUGGUUUUUCUUCACUGCAUUGUGUGUUGAUGUCAUGUUGUGAAGAAUUGAACCAAACUAACGCUUGACCCAUUUAUGAUUGCGAUCAACCUUCUAUUGAAGACUGAGGAGUAACUCACGAUCAGUCAUCACCCUGGGUGCUGUGGCUUGAGGAUUUUGCUUAGCGGCAGAAUCAUGUGUGGCAGAGUCAUCAUUGGUGGAGUAGGAUGCAGCCUUGCGGAAUUGACCAUCCAAUGGACGAAUGCCUUUAUCUAUCACAGCAAUUGCCUUGCCUUUGUCAUCAACUGAGGAAUAUGUCCGUCAGAGGACUUCAAUUGGAGGCAAGUAGCUGCCAUGGUUCAGAGUAUCAGCCUUGUAAUUGAGUGAAGAACUUGUCCUGAUGAAUUUCAUAAUCCAUGGUGCAUAAGGCUUCAGCUCAAAUGGUGACAUAGCAAUAUUCGCCAGAGUCCUCAUGAAGAAAUCAUGGAAGUUGACGGGAACGCCAUGAAUGAUGUUGAAAAACAUAUUCUUCAUGAUGCCAACGACUUCUUCAUCAUUUGAGUCGUGGCCUUUGAUAGGACUCAUUGUCUGCGUCAGAAUGCAAUAGACAGUCCGAGGCACAUAGAGUAAUUCCUUGACGAGGAAUUUGGUUCGAGGAGUCUGUCCUAGCUUCAAAGGCUUCAUCAGCACUUGCAUGUAAUGAUUUGAAAGCUCAGGUUCACUGUAGACGCAACGUGGACCGUCAAGGGGAGGACUAAGUGGUAAGAUACGAAGCAAUUCGGUAGCCGGUGCCUUGUAGUGAGUAUUUUCAGACAUCCAGUCCAGCACCCAUGAAUUCACAUCUUCAGAAUUUCCUGUAAUGCGCAGCGUCGCAAAGAAUUGAAGAAUGAGUUCUUCAUUCCAAUCACAGAUGUCAGUGCAGAAAUUUUACAAUCCAGCAUCGUGAAGAACACUGAGGACUGGCUCGAAGCACGACAGAGAUUCCAUGUCCACAUGAGGAAUAUGUUCAUGAUUGAAGACUUUGUCUUUGUUGAACAGUACUGAGGAAUAGAAAUUUGCUUGACUAGCAGUCCAGAAACGCCUCUUCCUUAUGCGAGUAGAAUCAUAGGGGUUGUAAUCUGUGAAGAACACAUGUUCGCUGAAGAAAUCUUCAGCCUUGAACUUUUGCUUCUUUGAGAAUGGAUCCUUUGGCUUGGGCACUGGUGUGUCAGUGAGUUGCAUCACAACCUCAGGAAUCGCAAUCUCAGGUUCUUCAGGCUGAGGAAUUUCUGGUUCCUCUCCAGUGGCAGUCUGCGUGUUCAAAGGAUCAUCAACAGUAGUUUCUUUAGCACUAGCGGCUGGAAUGUCUUCAUGCACAGAGGAGGUGGGAUGAGUCUCUUCAGAGCCCAAUUGAACGGUUGGUGCAGGGCACUGAGGUAUUUGUUGAAUCGGAGUGAAGAGUGGAGAAUUGGGGUGCUGACUUUCCCAAAAGUCAUCAUUCAUCAUGGGCGUUGUACAACCAAUGUCCAUGUCUUCAUCUUCAUUUUCUUCAACGCCAGCCUCUUCAGUUGUGAACUGCGGCAGUGGCGAGGAAGCAACAGUUGUUGAAGGGAUUGCAUCCACGUCAAUUUCUUCAUCAAUCUGCUCUGACGAAGCAGCAUAAUGAUUUUCUUCAUCAGAUCCAUUGGGGAUCACAUAUUCUUUACCAGAAGGAACAAGGUCCUUUGAUGGCAUGGUGGAAAUUGGAAGAUCAUCAAUUGGAUUUUCAAGUGAGCUGGUCAUAGGCUUCAUCUUCUUUGGAGCUGAAGAUUCUGAAGCACUUGAUGAUUUCCUUUUCUUCACUACAGCUCGCUCUGCAGCCUUGGUCUUCCUCACAUAUGAUGCAGAUGGAAGGGUAGGAGUUGGUGUAGGCGCAGGAGGAGCUGUGGAGUCUUGUUGAAUUUCCUCAGGCGCAACUAAUGCAGUUGCCCUGACUUCUUCAGUUUCUUCAGGCGCACCACUACUGGAUGCCCUGGCAAUGUCUUCAGCGGCUGGAAUGGAACCAUCAGCCCUGGAACUAGCAUUUUCAUCAGUAGCCUGAAAGUCAUCAACGGUGCUGGCAUGUUCUUCAGUUGGCUGAGCAGAUGCUUCAGCUUGAGGAAUAUCUUGUUGCGAUGGGGCUGCAACAUGGGUGAACUUCUCAGUCAGUUUCACAAACCUGACUUUGGCUCCUUGCCAAUCAGCAUAGUAAGCAUUGAAAUCAUCGUUGAGGGCUUUGAUUUCAGCUUGGAUCUUGAGGAGUUCAUCAGUUGUCAUAUUGACAACGUAUUUCUUCAGGAACUUCUCCUUUUUGAACUGAGCCUUCUUGAUCUGCCUGGCCUUUUCAAAUUUCUAUUUCUCUUUAGUGAUAAAAUGGGUCAGCAUGUGACUUUGACCAGGAGUCAGAUUGAAAUCAGGCAUAGGAGUAUUUGGAUCCUUGUGCCAGAGAUCAAUGUAAUCAAGGAUCGCCCCUGGAUCCAAAAGCAGUGGCACAUUUGUGCCUUUGGCUCUAGCGGCCCUUUCUUGUUGGUCUCUGAUGAUUUCUGCAAGUUCAUCAUCAUCAGCUUCAUCGUCAGAUGGCACUUAGAAGGCAACCUAUUUCUUCUUCGGACUUGGCCGAGGACCUCGACCAGCCGUUGCCUUUGUCUUCAGUAGAGUGGGGCCUGAUGAAGAUUUUGGUGCAGCUGAGGAACUUGCUGAGGCAGCAGAGGCAAUAGAGAUGCCUGUUGUCCAUUGGCACGUGGCCAGAUGUACAGGUGUUGAGGACCUUGCAAGAUCAGCUGAGGACUUUGGAGGAGAAGCAGAGGACUUUGGAGGAGCAGGAGCAGCAGGAGGGAUUGGCCGUGAGGGCUUUGAAGAUUCUAGUCGUGAGGGCUUUGAAGAUUCUGGCCGUGAGGGCAUUGCUAAGGAACUUGGCCGCGAGGGCAUAGUUGGUGAAGCACUUGGCUUGUGAGCGGGCUUCUUUGCCAUUGAUUUUCUAGGCUUGACAGAGGCCUCAGUGGCAGUAGCAGCAGCAGAGUCUUCAUUGAAUUUCCUCACUGCUUCUUUGGCAUGUCUUGUCAACUUGGCUUGGCGUUUGGCCCAUUCUUUAGGAAAAUCCUCACCAUGCUUGAUGCUGGUGGGGUCAGCUACUUGGCCAGGUGCCAAUGGAGCUCUUGGGCAUGGAGGAUUAAGUGCGAAUUUCUUCAUAUACUUUGGAGUUACAUAUCUGUACUCCCUCCAUUCUCUUGCCCAUCUCCUUUCAAUCUUCUGUAUGCGCACCUUGCGCUGAUUUUUAUUUUCCUUUCCGAACUUAGCUUCAUCAGGUGUGCAAUAGUCAGCAUAGAUGGCCUCAGGUAUUUCAAAAGCAGUCAUGACCUCAGGCUUCUUUCCUCCUUUCUGCGGCUUCUUACCGUCAGCCAUAUUCUUCAGAUGAGGAAUUUGAACAAUCGAAUUUUCUGAAGAAGUGUGCAACUUUUCUUCGAGGAACGCUGCAAAUGAGUUAAUUUGAUGAGAACCUAGUGAUUCAGUAGCGGACAUGAGUACCUGUGAACAGAGUAUAGUUGCGAGGAAUUUGGAGAGGUCAUAUGUGUUCUCAGAAGGUUUUUCAAAAAGAACAAGUUUGAGGAAUUUGACCAGAUGAGCCUUGAAGAAUUUCACUAAGCGUUCUCUGUCUUAGGUUCCAGAGUUGUAUAGAUCGAGGAUCCACACAACUAGGGAAUCUUGAAGAAAAAAUGAUGCUUAGAGAAACGAAUCAAGAACAGUUGACUAGUGAGGUGUUUUGUGUGUGAGGAUAUGAAGAAUAAAAUACCUUUGUAGAUUUUGUGGUGAAAUUUCGAAUUAAAAGAGGGUAGUUGUAACGCCCUCGAUGCGGCUAUAGCUCCCACGUGUCGAGGCACGACUUAGAGGCAUAACCGCAUUGAAAGCAAUGUCGCAAGUCAGGCAAUCAUUACAACAUCCCAUGUAAUAUAUAAUAAAAGGGGGAGAUAACAUAGUUGGCUUACACUCGCCACGUCACAUCAGAGUACAUAAAUAACAUUCAUCAAACAAAUCACUCAUGGCCCGACUACGGUGCCAAAAUAGAAAAGACCCCCAACAUGCGACAAGGUCCUGAAUCGAUAACCCCAACUAGGCACCACUACUGAUCAUCUGGAAAGGACACGUAGUAUCGCUGAGAGUCCUCGUCGAACUCCCACCUGAGCUCGUAAUCGUCAACUGGAGCGGAAUCACCUGGACCUGCAUCUGGAGUUGUAGUAUCUGUGAGCCACAGGGACUCAGCAAUCUCACACCCACGCGAUCAAGACUAUUUAAGCUCAUAGGAAUGGAUAAGGCAAAUAUAUGUGGAGCUGCAGCAAGCGACUAGCACAUGUGGUGGCUAACUUAUACGCAAAAGAGAGCGAGAAGAGAAGGCGAAGCACGAGCGAGAAGCUAAUGGAACAUCCUGCGCAAGCAUAACUCCAACACCGUGUCCACUUCCCGGAGUCCGCCGAGAAGGGGCCAUCACGGUAACACACACGGUUGAUUCAUUUUAAUUAAGUUUAGUUCAAGUCAUCUACAACCGGACAUUAACAAAUCCCAUCUGCCCAUAACCGCGGGCACGGCUUUCGAAAGAUCAAUCCCUGCAGGGGGGUCCCAACUUAGCCCAUAACAAGCUCUCACGGUCAACGAAGGAAUAGACCUCCACCCAAGACACACCGAUCAGACUCGGUAUCUCGGUACAACAAGAUGAUUCGACAGGUUAAAACAAGUCCAGCAACACCGCCCGAAUGUGCCGACAAAUCCCGAUAGGAGCUGCACAUAUCUCUUUCUCAGGGCACACUCAGAUGAGCAAUCCGUACAACUAAAACCAAACCUUGAGUUUCCCCGAGGUGGCGCUGCACAGGGCUCUAGUUCGGACCAACACUCAGAGGAGCACUGGCCCGUGGGGGCUAAAAUAAGAUGACCCUCGGGCUCCGGAAACCCAAGGGAAAAGGGGUUAGGUGGCGAAUGGUAAAACCAAUGUUGGGCAUUGCUGGAAAAGCUUUAAUCAAGGCGAACUAUCAAGGGGUUCCCAUUAUAGCCCAACCGCGUAAGGGACGCACAAUCCGGGAAUAUAACACCGGUAUGACGGAAACUAGGGCGGCAAGAGUGGAACAAAACACUAGGCGAGAGGCCGAGCCUUCCACCCUUUACCAAGUAUAUAGAUGCAUUAAGAUAACAUAGCAAUAUAAUGAUAUCCCAACAAGUAAAUAAAUGUUCCCACGAGGAACGGCUCCAAUCUUCACCUGCAACUAACAACGCUAUAAGAAGGGCUGAUCAAAGCGGUAACAUAGCCAAUCAACGGUUUGCUAGGACAAUGGUGGGUUAGAGGUUCAACAUGGCAAUUGGGAGGCUGACAAGCAAAAGGUAGGCAUCGUAGCAGUGGCAAAGCAAAAGAGCGAGCAAACUAGCAUAGCAAAGAUAGUAGUGAUUUCGAGGGUAUGAUCAUCUUGCCUGCACAGUUGUCAGAGUUGACUGGAUCCUCACAAGCAAACUCAACGGGCUCCUCGGUAGCGAACUCGUCUCCCGGCUCUACCCAACAAGACAAACAAGCAACAAGGAUACAAUCAACCACGGGCAAGACCAAGCAAUAUGAUGAAAUGACGAUAUGCUAUGCGGGAUGCGAUGCGGGAUGCAGAAUGCAAGAUAUGACAGGAAAUGCAUGAACCUGGCAUCAACUUGGAAAACCAAGUGUGCCACUGGAUAGAGGGGAUGAAAUCGCUUGAAAACGAUAUAAAGAUCAUAGGAAUCGGAGCUACGGUUUGGAAAUGGCAAGCGUUUUAAGAUAUGACACCGGUCUGCGAUUUACAGCAAGUAGGCAUCUAAAUGCAACUAAAUGAACAUGCUACAGCCACCAAACAUGAAAACAAAAUACAUGGCAGCGAAGUACACAAGAUGGUUGACAAAACACUAGCACUGAGCCAUAGGCAAAUUCAUCCACUAAGAGGUUCAAACAAGCAUGGCUAAAACGCAAAUGCAAAACAGAUUUCAGACUUAGUGAAAUUAACACUAGUCUGAAAUUUCAGAUCACGAAGCUCUCUUCGGAGCAGCAAAACAACAUGAUAGGAAACCUGAACAUGACAAGUAAGAACAUGGCAUGGAGCUACUCAACAAGCUUAAUAAAACACCCAAAGUGACCUGGGGCCAAAAGGGUUCACAAAAUACUCUACCGAGCUCACGAACAUCGCUCGAACACAAUCAGUUUUCAGACUUAGUGAAAACUGAGACAUGCUGAAAUUUAACUCACGAAGGCAUGUAAACGAGCUCGAUGCACUCACUACGGUGCAAGUCAUGGCAAGGAAAGCAUAUAACCAGCAAGAAGGCACACAGUGCUAGCUACACAUGGCAAGAACAAAGGCAUAACAUGCAUGGAACACUAACGGUAGCAUCGGCGAAAUCGCAAACAAGUUAACGAUCUGCCCAGAUUAACAACGAAGCAAAAGUUGAGCUCGAUUGAGUCAACCUAGAGCACUCCACAAAUGCCAACAAAGACAUGGAUGGAUAGAGCAUAACUUAAAUAUCAAAACUCCCUUACUGAUCAUCCUCAAAAGAGGCACGGAUCACUAGGAAACAAGCUGGACAUAUAGCAUCAUGAACUAGAAUAUCCCAGACUUAGUGAAAAUCACUAAGUCCCGGAAAUCUGCAAUCUCAGGUACCCUACUUCGCAAGCUUGCACAAGACAACACACACGUCCUAAAAAUGCAUGGGUGGCACCUCUGGAAAGAAGACAAAAUGCUUCACAAAACAUCCCAAAGGGGCACAGGCAUAUCAUGCACGAAUUAAUUAUAGCAAAAAUGACAAAAGUGCAUGAUGAACUAACGGAUCUGCAGAUUAACUCACGAAGCCUCCUUCUACCAGCAUUUUGGGCCUCAAGAUGACCUCAAAUGCAAAUGAUGCAAUGGAAUGAAAUGAUGUACAUGUCGAGACGAAGAUUUUGACAUAUCAUACGCCUAAAACGGAGCUACGGUUGCGGAGAUACAAGCAGUCAAAGUUUGCUUAAAAAAAAUUACGGGGAGAGGAAAAAGUCAACCCUCAGUUUAGAUCCGAGAUCUAGGGUUCGGGCACUGUAGCAGCCGGGGUCGGGGCGCGCCUCCCGAGGCGACGCCGGCGAAGGCGGGGACGGCGGCCGGCGGGGGCGGCGUCCUGGUGGCCGGAACGGCGGCGCCGGGCGGUGGCGGAACCGCGCCCACCGGAGACGGCAGCGGGGCGGAGCGGGGUCGGCGCGGCGGCCGGCGGGGACGCGGCGACGAGCUCCGGUCGGGGGCGCGGCGGCCCGUGGCGGCGGCGGCCACCGGCGCCGGAGGUGGCGGCGGCGGACGUAGGAGGAGGCGGCGGAGAGGCUGCGGGCCGGGGAGGCGUUGGGCGGCGGCGCGGGCCUCGGGGGCCGGCCACGGGCCUCCCGGGCCUGGCGGCGGGGAUGUGGUCCGGUGCCACGUGGCGGCGCGGGAGUGGCGGCGGAGAAAUGUCCGGCCGGGUCGGACGUGUCCGGCUCGGCGCGGAGAUGUUUUUUUUUUUUGAACUAGGGUUUGGACGGGGAAGACGAGAUCCGAAAUGGAGGGGGGUAUAUAUAGGCAUAAGUGGAGCUAGGAGAGUCCAAAUGAGGUGCGGUUUUCGCCCACACGAUCGUGAUCGAACGCUCUAGGACAUGGAGCAGAGUUUGGUGGGUUUUGGGCCAAAUUUGGGGGGUGUUGGGCUGCAACACACACGAGGCCUUUUCGGUCCCUCGGUUAACCGUUGGGGUAUCAAACGAAGUCCAAAUGACCCGAAACUUGACAGGCGGUCUACCGGUAGUAAACCAAGGCCGCUUGGCAAGACUCGGUCCAAUCCGGAAGUGUUUAAUCCCCACACAAGAAAGAAAGGUAGAAAUGACCACCGGAGGAGAACGAAACGCCGGAAUGCAAAACGGACAACGGGGAAAAAGCUCGAAUGCAUGAGAUGAACAUGUAUGCAAAUGCAAUGCACGUGAUGACAUGAUAUGAGAUGCACGAAAAAGAAAACAACACACGGAGACAAAGACCCGAACCCGAGAACUAAAUAUAACUUAGCGCCGGAGACGGCAAGAGUUGGAUACAAAUAUGGAAAGUUACAUCUGGGGCGUUACAAACACUCCACCACUACGAAAAGAUCUCGUCCCGAGAUCUAGGACUGAAAGAACUCCGGGUACUCAGAACGGAGGUGAUCCUCGCGUUCCCAGGUAGCUUCACGGUCGGAAUGGUGUGACCACUUGACUUUGAGAAAUUUGAUUGACUUGUUGCGAGUCUUGCGUUCCGUCUCUUCGAGAAUAGCAACUGGGUGCUCACGAUAGGAGAGAUCUUCUUGGAGCUCAAUGUCCUCGAAGUUGACGGUGCGGUCAGGAGUCUUGAAGCACUUUCGAAGCUGAGAGACAUGGAACACGUCAUGAACAUUUGCAAAGUUUGAAGGAAGCUCGAGUUGAUAGGCGAGGUCGCCUCUCUUGCUGACAAUCUUGAAAGGUCCCACGUAUCUAGGGGCAAGCUUCCCUUUGAUACCGAAGCGACGAGUACCUUUCAUGGGAGAGACGUGGAGGUAAACAUGAUCUCCAAUCUCAAAACCCAGAUCACGAUGCUUACUAUCAUAGUAACUCUUCUGGCGAGACUGGGCUGCUUUGAGGUUAUCACGAAUGACUUUGCACAUUUCUUCUGCUUCUGUGAUUAAGUCAUUACCCAGCAGCUGACGUUCACCGGUUUCAGACCAGUUGAGAGGGGUACGGCACUUCCUGCCAUACAGAAUUUCAAAGGGGGCCUUGCCCAAACUUGCUUGAAAGCUGUUGUUGUAUGAGAAUUCAGCAUAAGGAAGACAAUCCUCCCACUUCAUGCCGAAGGAGAUCACACAAGCCCUGAGCAUAUCUUCAAGAAUUUGGUUGACACGCUCGACUUGACCGCUUGUUUGAGGAUGGAAAGCUGUGCUGAAGCGGAUGUUGGUGCCCAUAGCCUUCUGAAAAGAAUCCCAAAACUUGGAGGUAAAGAUGCUGCCACGGUCUGAAGAUAUCACUUGAGGAAUACCGUGCAGAGAGACAAUGCGAGAGGUAUAGAGUUCCGCCAAUUGAGCUGCAGUGAUUGACUCUUUGAUAGGCAGAAAAUGAGCCACUUUGGUGAGCUUGUCGAUGACGACAAAUAUAGCAUCAUUGCCACGCUUGGACUUUGGAAACCCAGUCACGAAGUCCAUUUCAAUGUGGUCAAACUUCCAUUCUGGAAUGGCAAGAGGUUGGAGGAGACCAGCUGGCCUUUGGUGUUCUGCCUUCACUCUUCUGCAGACAUCACAUUCGUUCACGAAUUGAGCGAUCUCGCGCUUCAUUCGAGUCCACCAAUAAGCUUGCUUGAGGUCCUGAUACAUCUUCGUACUACCAGGGUGGAUGGAGAGGAGAGAGUUGUGAGCCUCGUUCAUGAUCACCUUACGGAGUUCACCUUUGGGCACAACAAUUCGAUCCUCGAAGAAGAGAGUGUCCUUGUCAUCAAGUCGGAAGCACUUGUACUUGGACUGACUCUUUGCAAUACCAAUCUUCACCUUUUUCACCAUAGCAUCAAGAAGUUGGGCUUGGCGAAUCUGGUCUUCUAAGGUAGGAGAGACUUGAAGGUUGGCGAGGAAACCUUGAGGAACAACUUGCAGAUUAAGUUUGCGGAAAGCUUCACAAAGCUCGGGUUGACAAGGCUUGAGAAUCAGACUGUUGCAAUAUGCUUUUCUGCUCAAAGCGUCAGCAAUCACAUUAGCCUUGCCUGGAGUAUACUCGAUACUCGGAUUGUACUCUUGAAUCAUUUCGACCCAUCGAGUCUGCCUGAGGUUGAGAUUAGGCUGAGUGAAGAUGUACUUGAGACUCUUGUGAUCAGUGAAAAUAUCCACUUUCCUUCCCAAUAGAAGAUGUCUCCAAGUCAACAAAGCGUGCACAACUGCCGCCAACUCGAGAUCAUGAGUGGGGUAGUUCUUCUCAUUAGGUUUCAACUGGCGAGAGGUAUAAGCAACAACUUUCUUCUCUUGCAUCAGUACAGCACCGAGACCUUGGAGAGAGGCAUCACAAAAGACCUCGUACGGCUUGGUUUCAUCAGGCGGAGUCAGAACUGGAGCAGUGACCAAUUUCUCUUUCAAAGAGUUGAAAGCAAUAUCACACUCCGGAGACCAAACGUACUUGACGUGCUUCUGAAGAAGAUUUGAGAGAGGCUUGGCGAUCUUAGAAAAGUUUUCAACGAAUCUUCUGCAAUAGCUUGCGAGACCGAGGAAACUGCGGAGUUGCUUCACGUUCUGAGGAGGUUCCCAAUUCACAAUUGCAGACACCUUCUCAGGAUUCACGGAAAUGCCCUUGGCGGAGAUGAUAUGACCAAGAUAAAGAACCUCAUCUAGCCAAAAUUCACACUUGGAGAACUUGGCGUAGAACUGAUGUUCUCUGAGCUUGUCAAGAACCAAACGCAAGUGCUUGGCAUGAUCUUCCUUGUUCUUCGAGAAAACCAGAAUGUCGUCGAGAUAGACCAAAACGAAUUCAUUGGUGUAGGGGUUGAAGAUGAAGUUCAUCAUGCGAGAGAACGUCGGAGGAGCGUUGGCGAGGCCAAAAGACAUGACGGUGUAUUCAUAUGAACCAAAGCUUGUUCUGAACGCCGUCUUGGGAAUAUCUUGCUCACGAAUACGAAUCUGAUGAUAACCCAUACGGAGAUCAAGCUUGGAGAAUACUUGAGCACCCUUGAGUUGUUCGAACAGCUCAUUGAUGUUGGGAAGUGGGUAUUUGUUCUUUAUGGUCUUCUUGUUUACUGGACGGUAAUCAACACAAAGUCGACUCGAUCCAUCCUUCUUCUUCACAAAAAGAACACCACAACCCCACGGAGAAGUACUAGGCCGAAUGAGACCCAAUCUUUCUUGCUCAUCGAGUUGUUUCUUCAACUCCUUCAACUCUUCGGGGCCGAGCUUGUAGGGACGUUUGCACACAGGUUCCGUACCGGGCUCAAGUUCAAUAACAAAUUCAACCGGCCGGUGCGGAGGCAUCCCUGGAAGCUCUUCUGGAAAGACGUCUUGAUACUCACAAACAACCGGAAUCUGCGAAAUAGCAUCCAAUUCACCCUUCUCAUUGAGAGAAAACAACCGGAUGGAAUUAUCUCGAGCGGCAAAGACAAUGACCUCCUCAGACGAAUGAGUCAGUUGAAUCUGCCUGGCUGCACAAUCAAGCUGAGCUUUAUGCUUAGAGAGCCAGUCCAUCCCGAGAAUAAGAUCGAUAUCGGAAUUGCCAAGAACCACCGGAGAAGAGAGAAACUUGCAGUCGCCCAAAGUGAUUGUAACAUCCGGAACACACACUCGAGAUGUCAAGAGGCUGGCCGGAGAGUCAAUAGACAACGGUCUCGGCAACAUUUGAGUAACAAAAUCAUGCUUGGAAGCAAAAGGUCUCGAGAUGAAACAAUGCGAUGCACCAGUGUCAAAAAGAACUUUUGCAGGAAUAUCAUUAACAGGAAGGUUACCCAUGAUCACGUCUGAAGAAUCCUCUGCCUGAGCUGCAUUCACCAUAUUGACCUUGGCGUGCUUGGGAUUGUGCUUGACCACAGCUGUACUUGCCGAUCUGACAGGAGGAGGAGGAGGAAGACGCCUUUGAUUGGUACACUUGUUGGCAUAGUGACCCUUCUGUUGGCACUUAUUGCACGUGACCUCUGAAAGCGGACGGUGAUACGGAGCACUCGGUCUUGGAGCUUGAGACGAAGCCUUGUUCUGAAAGCCUGGGUUGGGUGGGUGGGAGAAACCACUGCCACCUUUGCUCUUCUGCUGAUACGGCUGACGGAACGGAGGAGGAGGAAGCCAAUACUUCUGCUGCUUGACCACUUGAGUAGAGGAAGACGGAGUAACAUCUCUGGCACGCUUCCUGGAAGCAUCACAUCUCAUCUGAGCAGCCUCUUGCUUCAGUGCCAUGUUGUAGAACUCAUCGUAUCUCAACGGCUCAAAGAGGACAAGAGCGAGCUGAAUUUCCUCACGAAGACCACCCCUGAACUGAUAGAUCAUGCUUUUCUCAUCAGGAACAUCCUGCUUGGCAAAACGGGCGAGCUUCUGGAACAACUUGUUGUAGUCAUAGACAGACAUAGAGCCUUGCUUCAGAUUGCGGAAUUCCUGACGCUUACUCUCAACCACACUUUGAGGGAUGUGAUGAGCGCGGAAAUCUUGACGGAAAUCGUCCCAAGUGAUAACACGUCCACCUCUGGAAUCCUUGUACUGCUGGAACCACUCUGCAGCCUGAUCUUUGAGCUGGAAAGAAGCGAACUUGACGAAAUCUUCAGGCCUGACGUUGCUGCAUUCAAAAUGCUUGCCCAGAUCCACUAGCCAAUCGUCAGCGUCGGUAGCCUCAACACAACCGCUGAACGUCUUUGGGCCAUUUGCGAGGAACUGGUUCAGAGUAGCAAAGUGGUGCUGAUUAUGGCCUUGAUUCCCUUGACUGCCUUGAUUGCGCUCUUGAAGGAUUUGCAUGAUCAACUGUGUGUUUGCAUUAGUAGCGGCCAUCACAGCUUGCCAUGCUUCCGGAGGAGGCGGAGGUGGAGGCGGAUUAGGAUUCGGAGUCGUGCGCGUUGGAGGAGCCAUCCUGAACAGGUUGACCACCAUUAGCACAUAGAUAGACAACAAUAUAGAAGCUGAAUCCAACGGAAUGAAAAUUGCAACAUAUAGUCUUCACAUCCGAACAAAAUGAACGAAUGCAUUCCUCUUCAAAUGAUCACAUAUCCAUAAAUUGCGAAGCCACGAAGAAUUAAGGUAGAGAAAUAAAUCAACAAGGUACGGAUCAAGAACGAAUAAUCGGUAAGAAAUCCCAAUCUCAAACCAAUAUCCGUGGAAGAAGAACUAGAGCUACUAGAAUUCCCACCUAUGAAACUCCCGAACCUUUCCGGUUAUGCAAUCAGGUGUUGGGGAUACAGGGGAAGCACAUUAUCUCACCCAAACUAGCAAAUCCUACAUCCAGCUGUAUCCAUCCUUCAACACAUAACCAGGAAAACUUCGGAAACCAUCUACCUCAACCUUCGAAAAGCAUCCGUUAUACAAGUUAUGGCGAUACUCCCGAACUCCCGCCCCAGUACUGGGUGGCGUCGAGGUUAUCUCACCAACGAACUGCAUAAAAGAGAUUUUUGAUGUCGGCGAACAUAUCUCAAGUAUACCAGAAUUGCAACGAUAAAAUUGUGACGACAACACCUCGGAGCUCAACUCCCCGGGACACUGCCACAACCCCUAAAGACAGGAGGCACCAAGAACAAUGUUCUCGUCACAAAACCAUCGGAACAAAACCAAGAUACUCGCGUGAACCUAAAAAAAAAAAA
rnacentral:lncRNA from 1 species